rnacentral:rRNA from 1 species
UACGUAGGGGGGCUAGCGUUGUCCGGAUUUAUUGGGCGUAAAGAGCGUGUAGGCGGCCAGGUAGGUCCGUUUGUGAAAAACUCGAGGCUCAACCCUCGAGACGUCGGCGGAAACCCCUCUGGCUAGAGUCCGGAAAGAGGAGAGUGGAAUUCCUGGUGUAGCGGUGAAAAUGCGCAGAUAUCAGGGAAAGAAACACCCCCGUGGCGAAAGGCGGGCUCUCUGGGGACGGUACUGACG